rnacentral:lncRNA from 1 species
CGACAACACCUCAUGGGUAACGAGACAAUUGAUGAACAAAUUUAAUGGUUGGCUAGGGGACCAUCUAUCUCGAUAUUACAAUACCAAGUGUACGAGAUAAAUGGGUAUACAUUUUAUACGAGAGCCCAAGAUAAAAAGAGUACCAACCAAAAUAGUGAUGUCCGUAUAGUUGCAAUAGACAAUAAUGGGAAUAAGGAUAGCUACUAUGAUGUCAUAGAGGAGAUAUGAGAACUUG